GUCUAUGGCCAUGCCACCCCGAAUGUGCCCGAUCUCGUCUGAUCUCAGAAACUAAGCAGAGUCAGGCCUGGUUAGUACUUAGAUGGGAGAGCACCUAAGAAUGCCUGGUGCUGUAGACA
rnacentral:rRNA from 1 species